CAGUAGCCGCGGGAAUACGGAGGGGGCUAGCGUUGUUCGGAAUUACUGGGCGUAAAGCGCACGUAGGCGGCUUGGUAAGUUAGAGGUGAAAGCCUGGAGCUCAACUCCAGAAUUGCCUUUAAGACUGCCGAGCUAGCAGGUGAGAGAGGUAAGUGGAAUUCCGAGUGUAGAGGUGAAAUUCGUAGAUAUUCGGAGGAACACCAGUGGCGAAGGCGGCUCACUGGUCCAUUACUGACGCUGAGGUGCGAAAGCGUGGGGAGCAAACAGGAUUAGAUACCCCUGUAGUCCCUGUCUCUUAUAU
rnacentral:rRNA from 1 species